rnacentral:rRNA from 1 species
GACGAACGCUGGCGGCGUGCUUAACACAUGCAAGUCGAACGGGUCUGCCCUGUUUUUUGCGGGGUGGGUCAGUGGCGAACGGGUGAGUAACACGUGAGUAACCUGCCCCUCACUUCUGGAUAACCGCUUGAAAGGGUGGCUAAUACGGGGUGUUCUGGCUGUGCCGCAUGGUGUGGCUGGGAAAGAUUCACUUUUGUGGUGUUUUGGUGGGGGAUGGGCUCGCGGCCUAUCAGCUUGUUGGUGGGGUGAUGGCCUGCCAAGGCUUUGACGGGUAGCCGGCCUGAGAGGGUGGGCGGUCACACUGGGACUGAGAUACGGCCCAGACUCCUGGGGGAGGCAGCAGUGGGGGGUAUUGCACAAUGGGCGGAAGGCUGAUGCAGCGACGUCGCGUGAGGGAUGGAGGCCUUCGGGUUGUGAACCUCUUUCGCCGGUGAAGAAGGUCCUGCUCUUUGUGGUGGGGUUGACGGUAGCCGGGUUAUGAAGCGCCGGCUAACUACGUG